rnacentral:rRNA from 1 species
AGAGUUUGAUCCUGGCUCAGGACGAACGCUGGCGGCGCGCCUAACACAUGCAAGUCGAACGAGAGAGAAGGAGCUUGCUUCUUCGAUCGAGUGGCGAACGGGUGAGUAACGCGUGAGGAACCUGCCUCAAAGAGGGGGACAACAGUUGGAAACGACUGCUAAUACCGCAUAAGCCCACGGGUCGGCAUCGACCUGAGGGAAAAGGAGUGAUCCACUUUGAGAUGGCCUCGCGUCCGAUUAGCUAGUUGGUGAGGUAACGGCCCACCAAGGCGACGAUCGGUAGCCGGACUGAGAGGUUGAACCGGCCACAUUGGGACUGAGACACGGCCCAGACUCCGUACGGGAGCA